rnacentral:rRNA from 1 species
UACGUAGGCAGCAAGCGUUGUUCGGAGUUACUGGGCGUAAAGGGUGUGUAGGCGGUUCCUUAAGUUUGCUGUGAAAUCUUCCGGCUUAAACGGGAGGGUGCGGUGAAUACUGAGGGACUAGAGUACGGGAGAGGAAAGUGGAAUUCCUGGUGUAGCGGUGAAAUGCGUAGAUAUCAGGAGGAACACCGGUGGUGUAGACGGCUUUCUGGACCGUAACUGACGCUGAGACACGAAAGCGUGGGUAGCAAACAGG